UACGUAGGUGGCAAGCGUUGUCCGGAUUUACUGGGCGUAAAGCGCGCGUAGGCGGCCCGGUAAGUCCGUUGUGAAAGUCAAAGGCUCAACCUUUGAACGCCGAUGGAUACUGCCGGGCUAGAGUCCGGAAGAGGCGAGUGGAAUUCCUGGUGUAGCGGUGGAAUGCGCAGAUAUCAGGAGGAACACCAAUAGCGAAGGCAGCUCGCUGGGACGGUACUGACGCUGAGGCGCGAAAGCGUGGGGAGCGAACAGG
rnacentral:rRNA from 1 species